rnacentral:rRNA from 1 species
AGCUCCAAUAGCGUAUAUUAAAUCUGUUGCGGUUGAAAAGCUCGUAUGGUCUUCUGCUGAGGACGACUGGUCUGCCCUCUGGGUGAGUAUCUUGUUUGGCCGAAGCAUCUUGCUGGAGGUUGCAAGCGCACCUCAUUGUGUGGUGCAACCGACUGGGAUUUUACUUUGUGGUAGUUAGAGUGUUCAAGGGAGGCGCACGCCUCGCAUCGGUUAGCAUGGAAUAAUGCUGUCAGACCACGGUAUUGCUGUGCUGGUUUCUAUCACAUGAGGUAAUGGUAAACAGGGAUAGUUGGGGGCAUUCGUGUUUAACUGUCAGAGGUGAAAUUCUUGGAUUUGUUAAACACGAACGACUGCGAUAUCAUUUGCCAAGGAUGUUUUCA